UACAGAGGCCUCGAGCGUUAGGCGGAAUCACUGGGCUUAAAGCGUGUGUAGGCGGACUUCUAAGUACCUUGUGAAAUCCCACGGCUCACCCGUGGAACUGCUGGGUAUACUGGUCGUCUUGAGCCUUCUAGGGGCUGCCGGAACAAAUGGUGGAGCGGUGAAAUGCGUAGAGAUCGGAAAGAACACCAACGGCGAAAGCACUCUGCUGGGCCGACACUGACACUGAGAGACGAAAGCUAGGGGAGCGAAUGGG
rnacentral:rRNA from 1 species